GUGCUGAUAAUGGAAUCAAAUACAUGAUAGUUUUCUAAUGACUCGGAACAUCCUAAUGCUCUUGGUUACUCCAAUGUCAAUGUAUUAGAACAUUAACGUCCUUUAAAUAGUGUGAGAAGUGAUUGCUGAAUAUCAGUAGGCGUGCUAUCAAGUGCCGAGUAUAUUGUAUUAUAAUAACUAAAUAUGAAGUUCUCAUUAGUGUGCGUGUUGUUGAUGUCUGUGUUUAUGUUGUUUAUUACACAGAGCUCUGCCAACCCUAGAGUUAACUUCGGAGCUAUUAAGAAAGGCCUCGGUAUUCUGAGCGCGGCGGGAACGGCUGAGAACAUAUACGAGGAGUGGAAACACAGACACGGAUAAAGAAACACAAAAUUGUUAGAUUGAAAAUUCCACUAAUAUGAUUUUAAUAAAGAAUUUCUUUGGCUA